UUUAAUGAGAGUUUGAUCCUGGCUCAGGACGAACGCUGGCGGCGUGCCUAAUACAUGCAAGUAGAACGCUGAGGUUUGGUGUUUACACUAGACUGAUGAGUUGCGAACGGGUGAGUAACGCGUAGGUAACCUGCCUCAUAGCGGGGGAUAACUAUUGGAAACGAUAGCUAAUACCGCAUAAGAGUAAUUAACACAUGUUAGUUAUUUAAAAGGAGCAAUUGCUUCACUGUGAGAUGGACCUGCGUUGUAUUAGCUAGUUGGUGAGGUAAAGGCUCACCAAGGCGAC
rnacentral:rRNA from 1 species